UGGGGAAUUUUGGACAAUGGGCGCAAGCCUGAUCCAGCCAUGCCGCGUGAGUGAAGAAGGCCUUCGGGUUGUAAAGCUCUUUCAGGUGGAAAGAAAACGCAUGGGUCAAUACCCUGUGUGGAUGACGGUACCAUCAGAAGAAGCACCGGCUAACUACGUGCCAGCAGCCGCGGUAAUACGUAGGGUGCGAGCGUUAAUCGGAAUUACUGGGCGUAAAGCGUGCGCAGGCGGUGAUGUAAGACAGAUGUGAAAUCCCCGGGCUCAACCUGGGAACUGCGUUUGUGACUGCAUCACUCGAGUACGGCAGAGGGAGGUGGAAUUCCGCGUGUAGCAGUGAAAUGCGUAGAUAUGCGGAGGAACACCGAUGGCGAAGGCAGCCUCCUGGGCCAGUACUGACGCUCAUGCACGAAAGCGUGGGGAGCAAACA
rnacentral:rRNA from 1 species